AAAUUGAAGAGUUUGAUCAUGGCUCAGAUUGAACGCUGGCGGCAGGCCUAACACAUGCAAGUCGAACGGUAGCACAGAGAGCUUGCUCUCGGGUGACGAGUGGCGGACGGGUGAGUAAUGUCUGGGAAACUGCCCGAUGGAGGGGGAUAACUACUGGAAACGGUAGCUAAUACCGCAUAACGUCGCAAGACCAAAGUGGGGGACCUUCGGGCCUCACACCAUCGGAUGUGCCCAGAUGGGAUUAGCUAGUAGGUGGGGUAACGGCUCACCUAGGCGACGAUCCCUAGCUGGUCUGAGAGGAUGACCAGCCACACUGGAACUGAGACACGGUCCAGACUCCUACGGGAGGCAGCAGUGGGGAAUAUUGCACAAUGGGCGCAAGCCUGAUGCAGCCAUGCCGCGUGUAUGAAGAAGGCCUUCGGGUUGUAAAGUACUUUCAGCGAGGAGGAAGGCGUUGUGGUUAAUAACCACAGCGAUUGACGUUACUCGCAGAAGAAGCACCGGCUAACUCCGUGCCAGCAGCCGCGGUAAUACGGAGGGUGCAAGCGUUAAUCGGAAUUACUGGGCGUAAAGCGCACGCAGGCGGUUUGUUAAGUC
rnacentral:rRNA from 1 species